ACUGAACAGCUAGCUCAGCCCGCUACGAUCACAUUGACCCCCGUGAUCAAUCAUAGAUUUAACUCUUGACAACCAAACCAUUUGACCACCCCAGUAUGGGCGACAGAAAAGGACCCAUGGAGCUAUAGAAAAAGUACCGCAAGGGAAAGCUGAAAGAGAGAUGAAAUAGCACAUCAAAGUAAAUCAAAGCAGAGACUUGACCUCGUACCUUUUGCAUCAUGAUCUAGCCAGCAGCUUCGAGCAAAGAGCCCUCUAGUUUGAAACCCCGAAACCCGACGAGCUACUCCGGGGCAGCCAAUUAUAUGGGCAACCCGUCUCUGUGGCAAAAGAGUGGGACGACCCCUGAGUAGGAGUGACAGACCUAUCGAGCCGGGUUAUAGCUGGUUGCCCAAGAAAUGAAUAGAAGUUCAGCCCCGCUAGACCCUAAUCCACAAUAGUUUUACUUAAACAAGGUAAGAGGAUACUUACGGGAGUUAGUCAGAGGAGGAACAGCUCCUCCGACAAAGGACACAACCUUAAUAGGAGGCUAAGGAAUACAUUUUUCAAGGCUACAAGUUUCAGUGGGCCUGAAAGCAGCCAUCUGAACAGAAAGCGUUAAAGCUCAGACCAGAUUGAAGCCUACAAUAAUAUUUUAAUUCCCCUAUGCCCCUAAUUUUUACUGGGCUUUUCCAUGCCCCCAUGGAAGAAACCAUGCUAGAAUGAGUAAUAAGAAGAACGAACUUCUCCCAGCACGCGUGUAAGUCGAAUCGGACUUCCCAUCGACAAUUAACGAGCCCAGUAAAAGAGGGUCAUGCGCCACUGCCGUCCAAGGCCAAGAAAACCCCGCAGCCCCCAUCGUUACCCCCACACAGGUGUGCACCCUAGGGAAAGACUAAAAGAAUGAAAAGGAACUCGGCAAACCUAAACCCCGCCUGUUUACCAAAAACAUCGCCUCCUGCUUGACCCUGUAUAGGAGGUCCCGCCUGCCCCGUGACUUAGAGUUUAACGGCCGCGGUAUUUUAACCGUGCGAAGGUAGCGCAAUCAAUUGUCUCUUAAAUAGAGACCUGUAUGAAUGGCAUUACGAGGGUUUGACUGUCUCUUUUUUCCGGUCAGUGAAAUUGAUCUGCCCGUGCAGAAGCGGGCAUAACACCACAAGACGAGAAGACCCUAUGGAGCUUUAAACGCCAACCAAUCACGAAAAGCAACCGGUAGAACCGGGCUCUUAUCCAGCGUGGCCCUGGCACAAGCGUUUUCGGUUGGGGCGACCAUGGGGGAUAGCAAAGCCCCCGAUGAGGAAUGGGACGACAGUCCUAAAACCAAGAGCCACAGCUCUAAGUCUCAGAAUAUUUGACCGACAAGUGAUCCGGCUCCCUGCCGAUCAACGGACCAAGUUACCCUAGGGAUAACAGCGCAAUCCUCUCCCAGAGUUCAUAUCGACGAGGGGGUUUACGACCUCGAUGUUGGAUCAGGACAUCCUAAUGGCGCAGCCGCUAUUAAGGGUUCGUUUGUUCAACGAUUAAAGUCCUACGUGAUCUGAGUUCAGACCGGAGUAAUCCAGGUCGGUUUCUAUCUGUGAAGCCAUCUUUUCUAGUACGAAAGGACCGAAACGAUGAGGCCUAUGCCCGCCGCACGCCUCCUCCCUACCUGAUGACUACAACUAAACCAGAUAAAGGGGAGCCCCCCUCCGGCCCUAGACAAGGGCCU
rnacentral:rRNA from 1 species